GGACUACACGGGUAUCUAAUCCUGUUUGCUCCCCACGCUUUCGCGUCUCAGCGUCAGUACCGUCCCAGCGAGCUGCCUUCGCCAUUGGUGUUCCUCCUGAUAUCUGCGCAUUUCACCGCUACACCAGGAAUUCCACUCGCCUCUUCCGGACUCUAGCUCGACAGUUUCCACCGGCAUUCCAGGGUUGAGCCCUGGACUUUCACAGCGGACUUACCGAGCCGCCUACACGCUCUUUACGCCCAAUGAUUCCGGACAACGCUUGCCCCCUACGUAUUACCGCGGCUGCUGGCAC
rnacentral:rRNA from 1 species